AUGUGAAUUGCAGAAUUCAGUGAAUCAUCGAAUCUUUGAACGCACAUUGCGCCCCUCGGUAUUCCGGGGGGCAUGCCUGUUCGAGCGUCAUUGCACCCCUCAAGCUCCGCUUGGUAUUGGGUCGUCGCCCUUCGGGGCGAGCCCGAAAGUCAUGUGGCGGUCCGGCGUGGCUUCGAGCGUAGUAAUUUCUCUCCCGCUCUGGAAGCUCGCGCCGUCACCGGCCAGAACAGCCUAAACUUUUCUAAUGAUUGACCUCGGAUCAGGUAGGGGAUACCCGCUGAACUUAAGCAUAUCAAUAAGCGGAGGAAAAGAAACCAACAGGGAUUAGCCUCAGUAACGGCGAGUGAAGCGGCAUAAGCUCAAAUUUGAAAUCUGGCUCCUUCGGGGUCCGAGUUGUAAUUUGUAGAGGAUGUUUCGGGCGCGGCGCCGGUCUAAGUCCCUUGGAACAGGGCGUCAAUAUAGGGUGAGAAUCCCGUAUGCGACCGGCGGCCAAACCCCAUGUGAAGCUCCUUCGACGAGUCUAGUUGUUUGGGAAUGCCNCUCGGAAUGGGAGGUAAAUUUCUUCUAAAGCUAUUUACCGGCCAAGAGACCCGAUCCCCCCUCUAAGUAUAUUUGAUUCAAUAAAAAUGACAAAUCCGCUUUUGGAAAAUUUAAAUUCUUUCCCUUUUCCGUUUUUGUUUUUGUUUGGAGAAAGGGCCAAACGCUUUGAA
rnacentral:rRNA from 1 species